GAUGAACGCUAGCUACAGGCUUAACACAUGCAAGUCGAGGGACCGGCGCACGGGUGAGUAACGAGUAUCCAACCUGCCCAUACGUAGGGUAUAACCAGCAGAAAUGCGGACUAAUCCCCUAUGCUUAUGGAUGGGGAUGCGUCCGAUUAGCUUGUUGGUGAGGUAACGGCCCACCAAGGCUUCGACCGGUAGGGGUUCGGGUGGGAGGCCCCCCUACGUAGGAACUGAGACACGGUCCUAACUCCUACGGAAGACAACGGUGAGGAAUACUGGUCAAUGGGCGAUGGCCUAAACCAGCAAAGUGGCGUGCAGAAAGACGGCCUAUGGAUUGAAAGCUGCUUUUAUGCGGGGAUAGGUACCGCAUGAAUAAGGACCGGCUAAUUCCGUGCCAGCAGCCGCGGUAAUAC
rnacentral:rRNA from 1 species